GCCCAGCUUUAAUGAUGGUCUUGGCCCUUAUUAAGCUCCUAAGAGUCAUCCUGAAGCAAGCCAUGGGCUAACAGCAAUACCAAGAGGAGAUUCAGGUUGGGAGAGAAUCGCUUUUACCUUAAGCAUGCAUCUUUCUUCUUCUUCUCUUUUUUUUUUAAGGUUUUCUUUUUAUUUAUUUAUUACUUAUUUAGCUGCGUCAGAUCCCAGUUGCAGCCUUCUCGAUCUUUCACUGUGGCAUACAGGCUCUCUAGUUCCGACCGUCCCUCCCUUUCCUGAGUGCUCAGUUGUGUCUGACUCUUUUCGACCCACGGACUGUAGACCACCAGGCUCCUCUGUCCAUGGGACUCUCCAGGCAAGAAUACUGGAGUGGGUUGCCAUUUUCUUUAAGGGAUCUUCCCGACCCAGGGAUCCAACACAUGUCUCCCAUGUUGGCAGGUGUGGUUACAGAAGAUAUUGUAGAGAGAAUAUUCAACUGCUUGGGUGUGGGCCCAAAGGAGGCAGAGAAGCUGGUUCACUGACUGCUGAGGUUUUUUUAGAUAAGCUGUUCUCUAAGAGUCAGACACGACUGAGCGACUUCACUUUCACUCUUCACUUUCAUGCAUUGGAGGAGGAAAUGCCAACCCACUCCAGUGUUCUUGCCUGGAGAAUCCCAGGGACGGGGGAGCCUGGUGGGCUGCCGUCUAUGGGGUCGCACAGAGUCGGACACGACUGAAGCGACUUAGCAGCAGCAGCAGCAGCAUCUUUUAUUUAGAUGCUGAUUGUAUUAUUUAGGGGUGUCAUAUCUGUAUCCUUGAUCUCCUCAGCUAGGUUUAAAUCCACUCAGUAUAUGUGGACCAGUUUGCUAAUUCUCUUCUCCAUAGUAUCUACUCCAGUGGAGGCAGAGAGUCAAUAUUUGGUAGGUGCUUUUUGAAAAAAUGAUACAUUCUGUAAUUAAUUCUUGAAAUAAUAAAUCCUCAUUUGAAAAUUUGCUCAUCUUCUUAGAUAGCCACUGUUCCCAUGACCUAGCACUUAAUGUAGCGUUCAGAUUGCCUGGGUACAAAUUGUAGCUGUGUCUCUUACUAGGUGUGUGACCCUGGGCGAAACGCUUAAUAUUUCUGUACCUCAGUGUCCUUGUCUGUAAAACAAAGACUGUUAAAUUAUUGCAUAUUUGUUUUGAUGAAUAAAUUAGUAUGUGUAAAAU
ensembl:lncRNA